rnacentral:rRNA from 1 species
UACGUAGGGGGCGAGCGUUGUCCGGAUUUAUUGGGCGUAAAGAGCGUGUAGGCGGCCAAGCAGGUCCGCUGUGAAAACUCGAGGCUCAACCUCGAGACGUCGGUGGAAACCGUUUGGCUAGAGUCCGGGAGAGGUGAGUGGAACUGCGAGUGUAGAGGUGAAAUGCGUAGAUAUUGGGAGGAACACCAGUGGCGAAGGCGGCUCACUGGACCGGAACUGACGCUGAGGCGCGAAAGCGUGGGGAGCAAACAGG